UCUUUAUAAAAUAUAUCAAAUUAAAAGUUGGAAAAAAUAACUAAAAUUAAAUGUAGACUGAUGCAUAGGAUAUGAUUGACUUGAUUCAAAGUUACGUAGGCUAGGCUAUAAUAAAAGAAUAACUAAAUAAAAGUCAGUUUCUAUGCACAUUUUACAAAUAAUAAAUGUUAGUAAUUGUAUUGUAGAGUAAAAACGGGUAAAAAUAAGAAAUUUAUUGGUUUUUCUAGUCGAUGUCAUUGACUAGACAUAAAUAGGAGCUUUGAAGCUUCCAAGCAAAACGCCAACGAAAAAUGGCUUCCAUCCGCCAUCAUUCCAAAGCGGCCAUAUUACAAUAAUAAAGGAGCCAUAUUGCAAAAUAAUAAUGGCAGCCUCCUUUGAAACAUUCAUGGCAGACACAGAAUCAAAACAAGUGCUGAUUUUUAAAAAAUACAUAGUGAGAGUUCAAAAUAAAUAGGUAAAUAUGUUAGUAUGAACAAAGGCUUAUUCCAUUUAUUGAUCGAGGGUUCUUCACGCCCAUCUAACGACGCUGAGCUAAUACAGCACAGGUGGGUUUCGAAUACCUCUGAGAGAGAAAUAUAUGAAGAAGAGCAAGAGGAAUCAGGAGCGUUACGUGAAGAUAUUAUUAUACCAGGGAAAUCCUGACAUAUAGCUUCACCAAGUGUAGGGUGAAUGGAUCAGACUCAUGGUUCCAACUCAACCCAUCAACCUUCUCUGAAUUUGAUGAUUCAAUAGAACUACAUAUCCAAGCUUCGAAAUCACUCACUUGAUGAAAAAAUGUAUAGUGAAUGGCUGAAGUCUGAACAAAACACAGAUGAGAAAAAUGUAUCCACCGAUAUAACCAACCGUUCUGUUAUCCAAAAUUCCAAGGAGCACAGUCAAGAGUGUCAAAGUAAAGAAAUAUAUCUUUCAUCCGAACUUCUCAACAGAACCAAUGACAAUGUUUCUGAUUAUUCUACAAAAUACUUUGCGAAAAAUAACAUUCAUGAUUUUUCAAUCAUUGGCAAUAAAUGCAACCAGAAAAAACCCUUGAAACAAGUCCCUGAAAUGCUGGUUGAUAGUAUGGACUUUAUGGAAGAUGAUUCAAUAACUCCAGAUAAAAUUGAUUUGAAAGAGUCAUGUGAUUUGCCAUAUGUUAUUGAUUCAAUAUAUUGUUACAACAGCAAGGAAAACAUCAAGAAAGAUGGUAAUAAAACACCCAAACAGAACAAUAAACAGGGACCAUCCAAAAGUACCCCUGCAAAUGGUGGUUUUUUGAGUUUCUUGAAUAAUCUUAGAGCUGGAUGCUCCCCUUUUGCAAAUCGGAGGAACUCAGAUGACGAUUCUGCUCAGAAUAAUAUUAAUAAAAUAUUUGGUCCUCAAGAAUCAAAACUACCCACCAAAUCAAGUGAUACAUCAUCUAAACAUCAUGACGAAAGGUAUGGAACUCUAGGAAAAGAAGGACUUCAAUUGUUAAAUAAACAGCGAGAAUUGGACAAACUGAAGAGGAAGAGUGGUAAGUUUGACAAAGAACAAGCCAAAGAUGAAAAACAAAAUGGUAGAGCUGCUAAAGGAACAUCUCUAGCUGGGGCUGAUACUGGUGAUCAAAAAAAGGCAAAGGCAAUCAAUAAAGAAAAUCAAAUUCAAAAGGCAGAUAAAUUGCCCAAAGUUAAUCAAUCAAAGCCAUUAUUGGCAGAUGAAGAGAAACAUACUCCACUAAUACAAGGCAAAGGAGUGCCAUCUCCUGUUCCUAGUACUGGGCGAGAAAGAGAGAUGGCAAAAGACAAACAACAAGAAAAGGUUAAAAAACCUGACAUGGAUGAAGCUAAAGUUCAAACAUCAAUGUCACCUACAAAUAAACUUGAUCCAAAGUCAAAAAAGGGUGAAAGUCCAUUGAAAGAAAAAGGAGAGUCUGAUAAAUUAGACAAGUCUGAUAAAUCAGACAAGUCCCAUAAAUUAGACAAGUCUGAUAAAUUAGAUAAGUCAGACAAGUCUGAUAAAUCUGCUUUAAAUGUAACUUCAGAUGAUGGAAAAACAGAGAGAAGCAAUAAUGCCUCUACACCAGUACAGGAAUCAUCCAAUGCAGAAGAUAAUGCAAUGACACCUGCCAAAAAACCUAAACUGCCAACAAGAGAUGAUGAAAGCCCAUUAGAUGGUAGAGGGAAGACUGAUAAAUCAGCUCUAAAUUUGUCUCCUCAAGAUAAAAGUUCUGAAAGGAAAAAACCCAAACCACAAGAUAAUGCAAUGACACCUGCCAAAAAACCUAAACUGCCAACAAGAGAUGAUGAAAGCCCAUUAGAUGGUAAAGGGAAGACUGAUAAAUCAGCUCUAAAUUUGUCUCCUCAAGAUAAAAGUUCUGAAAGGAAAAAACCCAAACCAAACAUACAACAAUCACCUCAGCCAGAAAGUGAUGGAAAGUCACUGGCAGGUGAAAAUAAAUUGAAGGCAGACACUGAUACAAGUCCAUUGGGGAAGAGAAGAGAGGCUACUCAGCCAGAAAGUGAUGCAAAGUCGCUGGCAGGGGAAAAUAAAUUGAAGGCAGACACUGAUACAAGUCCAUUGGGGAAGAAAAGAGAGGCUACUCAGCCAGAAAGUGAUGCAAAGUCGCUGGCAGGGGAAAAUAAAUUGAAGGCAGACACUGAUACAAGUCCAUUGGGUAAGAGAAGAGAGGCUACUCAGCCAGAAAGUGAUGCAAAGUCGCUGGCAGGGGAAAAUAAAUUGAAGGCAGACACUGAUACAAGUCCAUUGGGGAAGAGAAGAGAGGCUGCUCAACCAAAAGGUGAUCCAAAGUCACUGGCAGGAGAAAAUAAGUUGAUGGCAGACACUGAUACAAGUCCAUUGGGGAAGAAAAGAGAGGCUGCUCAGCCAGAAAGUGAUGCAAAGUCACUGGCAGGGGAAAAUAAAUUAUUGAAGGCAGACACUGACAGGCCUAAAAGUCCAUUGGGGAACAGAAGAGAGGCUAUUAAUCAAUUGACACCGAAUUUGCCUUCAAGUGCUACCAGUACACCAAUACAACAAUCAUCUUCACCAGAUAGUAAUUCAAUGUCACCAGAAAGGGGAUAUGAAUCAAAGCCAGAGUAUGAUAAGAGUCCAUUGGAAAAAAAGAGUAAAUUGAGUUCAAAUAUAUCUCCAAACACUACCAAUAGAACAGAAGGUGAAACAGAACAACAAAAACCCACUAUCAAUAAAACAGAAGAUAAGACUGUAAAACAAAAACCAAGUAUGAUCGAACCAGAAGAUAAAACAGAAAAACAAAAACCCACCAUCAAUAAAACAGAAGAUGGAACUGGAAAACAAAUACCCACUACCAAUAAACCAGAAAAUAAGACUGUAAAACAAAAACCAAGAAACAACAAACCAGAAGAUGAAGCUGAAACACAAAAACCCACUAUCAAUAGAACAGAAGAUGGAACAGAAAAACAAAUACCCACUAUCAAUAAAACAGAAGAUAGAAUAGAAAAACGAAAACCCACUAGCAAUAAACCAGAAGAUGAAACAGAAAAACAAAAACCCACUACCAAUAAAACAGAAAAACAAAUACCCACUAGUAACAAACCAGACUAUAGAACAGAAAAACAACAAUUUGAUCAAUCAAAUCAACCUGACAAACAGUCUGGAAGAAAUGAGAAGGCCCUAUCAAAUUUGUCCCCAGAUUCACCCAUUCAAAAGCCUUAUGAUGAAACUAUAAAGGAUAAGAUGAAAAGUGAUGGUACAAUAAAUCCAGAUGCUACACAAGGAAAACCCAUUAAAACUAAUACAGACUCACCAAUUGAUAAACAUGAUUCGAAUGCAGUCAAUGAGAGUACAACUGAUGGAAUGCCGUCCAAUGUAAAAAGUGUUGAACCACAAAAUGAAAAGCAGCAAAAAAUGGAAAAGAUCAAGAAAUCAGACUUGGAUGAAAGACCAAAAAGAAAAUCCGGUGAUUUGUCAAAAAGUGAUAAGAAAAGACCAGGUAAAUCGGCCGAAGAAACCGAAAAGGUUGAUAAAUUGGGCAGAGAAGCCUCACAAUCCAAGCCUGAUAGUGGAAUUAAAGAAGGAAAAAAGGUGAGGGAAACACCAGUAGAAACCAGUCCUGAUAUUGGUAAAGUUACUAAAGGCAAACCAGAUUCCCCUGAUACUACUAUAUCAGACAAAACACCAAAUAAUGAUGACAAGUUUAAAAAAGUUGAUGGUAAAACGCCCUCCAACAAAAUUGAUGGCCAACCAAGUGAUGUGAAACAAAGUGGCUCUCCAGUUCAGCGUAAAUCUGUAAUUGACAAGUCAGAAGCGGGUAAAAGCCCAGACAGCAAACGAAAAGAAGCUAAUGAUUUAUCAAAACCUGAUCAAAAGAAGCAAGAUAAGCCUGUAAAAGAGGGUCCUGCUAAAGUUGGUAUGAAUAAUAUUUCAAAGGCGUUGCCUCCCCAAGUUUCUCCUGUUGCAGAUGGAAAAGGAGUUCCAGAAUUGAAGAAAGAAGGCACAUAUGAUCAAAAACCAAUAACUAAUGUUGAUGGUUCAAUUGUACCCCACUCUGAAAACAUCGCGAGGAGCUCUAUCAAUGACCAGGUUGAACAACUUUCUGUAGUAGAAGAUGAAGCAGAAUCUGAAAUAAAACGGGGAGCUCCCAUUAAGGCCAGGAUGGUUGAUAGACAAGAUGAUGAUAACUCAGUCCCUUAUGAUCCUGAAGUCAUCAGAGAAAAGCUGAAACAUCAAAUAAAAAUGUUGCGAGAAGAGGGAUUUUACACUGACUCUGAAUUUGAUGACAUGGAUGAUGAGAUUUAUCAAACCGUCAUGUCGUAUGGUGCACAGACCAAUCUCAGUAAAAUGUCAAUUACAAGUGAAAGCAGUCUUUCUUUGCCAUCUUUAUCAACUCUUUCCUUCAGUUCCAAUAGUAAUGUGGUGAAAGAUCUGUGGACGGUUCUGCGCAAACGCAGUAGAACUGAACUGGAUAUGAUUGUGAGGCCAGUCAAGCGGAAAAAAGAUCGACCUCUUUACACAUCUGGAAAAACGACAACCAUCGGAGAGGCUCAAUAUGUUGAUUAUGAAAGCACAGCUUUUGAUUUGAACCUGCCAACCAAGCUCAAAGUGAGCACGAAAGAAGUUGAGAGUACUUUGCUGAUGAACUUUGACCCUGAGAGAAAGGCGAUGUCCGGUGACAAGUGCUUCCGACUGUACAAAGAGCCCGAGCGAGGUCGACAGAUCAGCAUUCCGAUCAACGACCUGCAGAUCCCUGUCUUCGUCUAUGAAACUGACAACGAUCCAGAGGGCAUUCUGGUCACUGAUCAAGUUAUACGAUCAAAACUGCAAGUUUGCUUGGAAGUGGCCAGUAUGUAUUACGAUGAAAUAUCAGUGAGGAGGGGUAGAUUGUUGGUUCAUUUAGCAGAAUAUGCUCCCAACUCAGUGAUUGGUUUCUUGCGACAGCUUGCUGAGGCUAUAGUCAACCGAAGAAUCAACUCAAAAUCUAAAAUAAAUGCCUGAGCUGGAUAAUUUCCGACUAUUGAGCCGUUUGAAGACAAAAGUAUUCUCAGAGUUUUACAGAAGAGUGGCUCAUUAUGAACUUGUGGAAGGAGAAAAAGAAGUGAGCCAUAAGCAUUUAUUUCUUAUAAGACAUAUGCCACGCUUAUAUAAGACUGGACUCUAUCCAUUCAUUGAUUUUAUCUCGGAAUACAUUGCUAACAACCAAAUACGGACGCUAGAUCAACUUGAAGUGGCUCUGAUCAGGUUCCUGGUAUGCAGUGACGGUAACAUCACAAAAAGUGAGUUUAAUACAUUUUGCGAUUUUGGAUUGAAGAAGAAAUGUUGAAGAAUUUGGCGAAGAACUGCCUAAAAUAGAAACUCAAAUAAAUCAGCUAUUGAUUUUUAUUGCUCUAAAUAAUAUAAUAAUUUAUUGUUUUUGUUUUAAAUUGAUUGCACGAUUGAGAACUGUGAAAUUGUUCAAUUUGAAUCAGAUAUUGAAAUUUGUUAUAAAUAAAACUUGUUAUUUGUUUUGUUAUCAAAUUAUACAAUUGAUGGAUAGUUUCAUGUCAGAGUUAGUCAUUUCCGCGCUACAUUUUUUAAGAACAACAGGGAUAGGCCUAUCUUGGAAAUUAUUUUGUGUAUUAUUUAUGAGGAAUGCAGUAUACUCAUCUCCUUCAAAUUGAUUAUAUUCAUCUAGAUGGAAGAGAAUUUGUAACUCGCAUCUCGGCCAGUUACGUGAUUCAAAUAUCAUUCUUGUUGACAACAACUAAUCAAACUUCCAUAGAAUAGAAUAGGUUUUAUACCUUUAAGUACCGUAUAUACAUUAUACAAUCGGGAACAUCACAAUGUUCAAAAGAUACAAAAAUUGAAACAAUUAAAACACAUAUCAUAUAUGAUUGAUUCAACUCAUUAAGCUUAUUUACAAGCAUAAUAUGAAUAAUUCAAAUACUAUCUCACACACUAAAAUUAUUGCCAAUCUAAUACAUUAUGGAACGUAUAGUCUGUUGUGAAUAGUUACUAAUUAUAUCCCUAUCCAUAUUAAAAAAUUCCGACAGUGAGUAGGCCUAUAGAGGAUUUUCUGACAAGAGAGUUUUCAAUCUACGUUUAAACGAAGAAGCAGACAUGGCUCUCACUGAAGCAGGAAACUUAUUAAAGAUUCUCAAAGAAAUAAGCUUCGAAUUCAUCUGCACUCUCCUCAGCCUAGUAUCAUCAUCAAUUUGCAGCCUAUUUCCCGUAUUAUAGUGAUGAAUGUCCUCCUACAUAGAAAAGAUUCAAUUUUUCUCACAUUCAGUGACAGCAUUAUAGAGAAUCUAUUGUCCAGUCUGAUGAAGUUUUCAAAUAUCUCCUAAUUUAAGGGUUUUAAAGUAAUGCUGAAAUUCUCCUAAAAACUGGAAAUUAAUUUAAAAAUUGAAUAUUCUAGAACUAAUAUUAUUAUAGCCAUCUUGAGUUGGAUGCCUCGACAACUAGGCUUAGUCAUAUGGCCAGUCCGUUUGGAAGCACUGAGAAGAAAGUAAACUUUUAAGAAAUAAGUAACUUAUAUAGAGGUCCACGUUAUAAUGGUAGUGGAGAAAGAUAGGAGAACAGCGUUGCCGAUUUAAUGCCUGUUCUGUCUAUAUAUCCUGAGGCUAUAGAGGAAAGCUGAUACCGAUGAAUCUGAUGUAACAUUAAUCCAGUAAGGAUUUAUAAGAUAAGGUUUUAUUAUUCUAGUAAGAAAUAGUCCAUUAAGAAAAUUAGUAUAUUCACUAAUUUGUAAUAUUUUACUUACAAAUAUUGUACUUCCAUUACUUACAUUGUACUUGUUAGUAAUAUUUUAUUCGCCAAGAGAAUAUAUUUUUUAAUUUUUCUCAAAUAAUAAAUCUCAAUAAUUG